GGAGGGCGCGCGUCACGCAUCGGACCUCUAAUCGAAAAAGACCACCC
rnacentral:rRNA from 1 species